UAACUCUGUUUUCCCUUCAAAACGCAUAAUCUUUCGGCUUUUUACUAAAGAUUUCCGUGGAGGGAAACAACUCAAUGAGAUCUUAUCAAUUUUUAUAUAGCCCACUUCGUGGGGUU
rnacentral:snRNA from 1 species